rnacentral:misc_RNA from 1 species
GGGGAAUGACGAAAGGUGGUAACUGUGUGAUAAGGAAGGGUUGGAGGAGAGAUAGUGAAGGCGGAGUGAGUACUGCCGGCGUAGCGGACCCAGACCAGCGUACACCGGCACAUGCACGGCCGUACCUUACUGCUUCAGUAUGGAGUCUGAUAUCCAGUUGCCAGACAAUCCUAAAAUGGCAUUGAUAGACAAGAUGAGUCGAAUCAAUAUUGAUGAGCCUCGGUGGGAUCAGAGCACUUAUGAGGGCCGAGCCAAGCACUUCUUCACCAUCACCAAUCCUCUCAAUUUGAUGUGUUCUUCUGAACAACUGGAGAGGGCUAAGGACAUUGUCACAAGAUACAGGAAGGGUGAAGAUGUGAGCUUGACAGAUGAUGAAAUCUGGAAAGCAAAGAAUGUAUAUGAUUCAGCAUUUCAUCCAGACACUGGUGAAAAGAUGAUGCUUGUUGGUCGUAUGUCUGCCCAGGUGCCUAUGAAUAUGACCAUAACAGGCUGCAUGCUCACCUUCUACAAGACAACUCCAGCAGUGGUCUUCUGGCAGUGGAUCAACCAGUCUUUCAACGCCCUUGUGAACUACACUAACCGUUCUGGAGACUCUCCCAUCAGUGUGCAGCAGCUAGGAACUUCAUAUGUGCUUGCUACGGGAGGUGCACUGGCCACGGCUUUAGGUCUCAACAGUCUGGUCAAGUCCAUGCCGCCCCUGAUUGGCCGCCUGGUGCCCUUCACUGCCGUGGCCGCUGCUAACUGUGUCAAUAUUCCCAUGAUGAGGAUGAAGGAGCUGCAAGAUGGAGUCACACUCUUGGAUAAGAAUGGAAACAAAGUGGGAGAAAGCAAGACAGCUGCUAAGUGGGGCAUUGCAGCUGUGUGUGUGUCUCGUAUCUUGAUGGCGUCUCCUGGCAUGGAGAGUGGCGUGAAACGGGGGUGAUGCUUCUGGACCAGGAAAACAACACGGUGGGAUACAGUAAGAAGGCAGCCCGCAGAGGAGUCACCAUGGUGGUCCUCUCUCGGAUUCUCAUGGCUGUCCCCAGCUGUGUGUUGCCACCUAUUGUGAUGAAUAUCCUUGAGAAGCGAGGCACUUUGCGCAGAAUGCCGUGGAUUUCUGCUCCACUACAAGUUGCACUGUGUGGUGUGUGCCUCACAUUUGCCACUCCUGCCUGCUGUGCCCUUUUCCC